ACGCUCGACACCUACGGGAGGCAGCAGUGGGGAAUAUUGCACAAUGGGGGAAACCCUGAUGCAGCGACGCCGCGUGGAGGAAGAAGGUCUUCGGAUUGUAAACUCCUGUUGUUGGGGAAAAAGAGGACGGUACCCAACAAGGAAGUGACGGCUAACUACGUGCCUGCAGCCGCGGUAAUCNGAGCGGGCUGGCAAGGC
rnacentral:rRNA from 1 species